rnacentral:rRNA from 1 species
GGCAGAGGGUGCAAACGUUGUUCGGAAUUACUGGGCGUAAAGCGCGUGUAGGCGGCGUAGCAAGUCGGGCGUGAAAGCCCACGGCUCAACCGUGGAAGAGCACUCGAAACUGCUGCGCUAGAGUUCUGGAGAGGAAGGCGGAAUGCUUGGUGUAGAGGUGAAAUUCGUAGAUAUCAAGCGGAACACCGGUGGCGAAGGCGGCCUUCUGGACAGUGACUGACGCUGAAACGCGAAAGCGUGGGGAGCAAACAGG